CAUGCGGCUCCCAUUUUGACGCCAACUUUCUCCAUGUUCAAGAGAUUUUUGCAUGAGAUUUUUUUAUGCCAAAGAGGUCUCCCUCCCUUUUUUACAUCCAAAUCUAAUUUGUUUUUGAUAAAAAGAAGAUUUUGAAAUUGGAUUUCAAAAUAUUAUUUUUCAAGAGAAUCUGUUCUUAUCCAAAUCACUUCACGUGCCAACUUAUUUUUUUUCUUCUUAUGUGUGCAAUAUUUUGAGGAGAUUUUUUAUGAAAAAUUAGUUCAAGAAUUGAUUU
rnacentral:lncRNA from 1 species